rnacentral:lncRNA from 1 species
GUUGGCCCCAGUGCCCCAUCUGGACUGGGAUGGAGGGCAGCCUAAAUUCUUAAUCCAAGUGAGUGAGUGUUCCAGAUACCUGGAGAUCUGCCUGGGUUUGGAGUAAAGAGGGCCCCCCUGCUGCAAGAUCUCUGCACAGAAAGGGUGUGGCAGCUCAGGCUGUUGUUUCAAGGAAGCUGGAACUCAGAAUGCCUGGAGAUCUGCCUGGUCAUGUAGCAGAGAGGUCUUCCUUGCACCACAGUCUCUGCACAGGGAAGGUGUGAUGGCUCAGAGUGCCACGGGAGAGUGAGUCCUUGAGAUGUCUGGAGAUCUGCUAGAGCAUACAGCAGAGAGGUCACACCUGCACCAAGAUCUCUGCACAGGAAGGACAGGGUGUCUCAGGCUGCUGAUCCAGCAGCUCCAAGCCUCUCCCCAAGCUAGAUCCGAGGAUUGGGAGAAACAAAGUGCUCUCCCUCCGCCUGAGUUCCUUAAAUCUCCAGUGGAAAGGGCUGGACCUACUGGCUGGCUUCUGAUGAACAGAGUAGGGCAAAAGUGAUGAGACCUCACUUUCAAGAUUACGUUUAAAAGGCCUUAAUUUCCAUCUUGUUGGAUCAUUCUGAUGAAGCAAGAUGCUACUUUUUGACCUGCGCAAGGAGAGGUCCACACAACAAGAGACUAUGAGAGCAGCUUCUGUUGACAGCACACAAGGAAAUGGGUUUUUCCAACAACCACAAAAGUGAACUUGAAGCAGGUUCUUCCACAAGCAUGCUCGAGAUGACUGCAUCCUUGUAAGAAACACUAAGCCAGAGAACCCAGCUAAGCCAUAGCCAGAUGCCAGACCCACAGAAACUGAGAUAAUAUUGUUUUAAACCACUAAGUCUUGUGCUAACUUGUUACACAGCACUAGCUAACUAGUACAAAUGUAAACCAUGCUAGGUUGUCCGUAUUAACCCAACACCACAACUCCCUUCCACAUUGGAGAAAAAAGCAUCCUCUUUCCUGUAUGAGUUCCAGGUUGUUAUCCGUGGUAUCUCCUUUGAGCAACUCACAUGAGAUAAAGGGCCUAAGUGCCCUAGAUCUCAGUCCUGAGUCCUCUCCUAUCUACCUGAACUCACUUUGGUGAUCUCCGCAAGAACCAUGGCUUUUUGAACCUUCUCCCAGCCAUAGCCUUUCCCGUAUCUGUUGUAGGAGCUCUGUCCUCCUAGUUGAUCAGCCCAAAACCCUUGGAGUUUUUCCUCAAUUGCUAACACAGCUCAUCUAAUCCAAUAGUUCAUCCAAACCAAAUAAAUCUUACGGUUUUAUUUCUAGAAUAUAUCUAAAAAUCUGACCACUUUACCAUCUUAAAUGCUACCACACUGGUUACCACACUGGUUCAAUUCUUCAUCAUCUCAUUUGAAAGACCGAAAUACUUGAAUUCAUCCUGGUAGCAUCUACACUUGGCCUCCUACAAUCCAUCCUCACCAAGUGCCAGGUUAAUGCUUUUUAAAAUAAGUCAAAUCCCAUACUCUGCUGCCCAAACCCAUGCAACAGCUUCCUGUUUCAGAGUUAAGUCAAAGUCCAUUUGUAGCCCACCAUAUCCUACCUGGCCUUGCCCCAUCACCUUUCUGAACUCAUUUCUAUGGCUUUCCUCUUUGUUCCCUGUUUGCAGACACACUGGCCUCCUUGCUCUUCCUCAAACACACAGGCAUGCUCCACCUCACAGCCUUCCUCCACACAGGCUAUUCCCUCUUUUUUUAGCAGCUUUCCUCAAAGGGUAUUCUGCAAAUCAUCCAGAGGGCUCAUUCAAUAGAUCUGGGAUGAUGCUUGAGAAUAUCAGCUUCUAACAAAUUCUCAAAAGAUGCUGCUGGUGUUAGAAUUACACUUUGAAACCACUGCCCUGGGACAUCCGCUAUCUAUAAUGUAUUAAAUUAUUUCCUGUGCAUUUAAAAUAAUAAUAGUUAUAAACCCUCCUGGGAAGAACUGUGAAAAUAGUCACUACAACUAUUUCAUGUUCUGUAG